AUUGAACGCUGGCGGCAGGCCUAACACAUGCAAGUCGAGCGGAAACGAGUUAUCUGAACCUUCGGGGAAACGAUAACGGCGUCGAGCGGCGGACGGGUGAGUAAUGCCUAGGAAAUUGCCCUGAUGUGGGGGAUAACCAUUGGAAACGAUGGCUAAUACCGCAUGAUGCCUACGGGCCAAAGAGGGGGACCUUCGGGCCUCUCGCGUCAGGAUAUGCCUAGGUGGGAUUAGCUAGUGUGAGUAGGCUCACCAAGCGACGAUCCCUAGCUGGUCUGAGAGGAUGAUCAGCCACACUGGAACUGAGACACGGUCCAGACUCCUACGGGAGGCAGCAGUGGGGAAUAUUGCACAAUGGGCGCAAGCCUGAUGCAGCCAUGCCGCGUGUGUGAAGAAGGCCUUCGGGUUGUAAGCACUUUCAGUCGUGAGGAAGGUGGUAGUGUUAA
rnacentral:rRNA from 1 species